GAUGGAAUUUCUGGAUCAUAUUGGAAUGCUAUGUUUAACAUUUUGAGGAGUUGCCAAAUUGUUUUCCAAAGUGGGUAUAAUAUUUUAUAAUUCCACCAGCAGU
rnacentral:pre_miRNA from 1 species